rnacentral:lncRNA from 1 species
AUAAAUUUGGAAUUGUAUGAGUAGGGGAGUGUACAAGUUUGCGUGCAUGUGUAUGUACGUGCAUAUGUAUAUAUGAUUUGGGAUUGCUGUAAUUUCUAAAUGGUAUAAUAAAGUGAUAAUGCCUUGUAAAAUCUAAAGUGGCAUUUAAUUCUACUUCAUCAUGAUACACUCUUACAGAGAACACACAAUUUAAAAGUUUAAAAAGUAAAGCAGUGCUUUAAGGAUAUGAAAAGGCAGACCAUGAAUUUGUAAGAAAGCAAGAGGGGAAUAUGGGAGGUUUGGGGGGAAUAAACGAAAGGAGAAAUGAUGUAAUUAAAUUAUAAUUUUAAAAAAAGAUAUAAGACACAUUAGCUCCUUAGAACUUCAGUGUACAUUCAAGGGCAUGAAAUAUCAAAGAAGAUUCAUACUUACUUAGUCAGAUGGAAUGCCUCCUAUAGAGUUGAGUCAAUUUCAGACCUUUUGAAUUUCUAAAAUGACAUUUUUUUGCUUAAAUUGGGACUGUUUUAAGGAAAACUAUGUUUGGCAUUUUAGUUUCAGAUUGGGAACUUCCGAAUGAAGCUGAUUAUUUUCCUUAAUGUAAAGCUUUUCUUUUGCCCAUAUGAAUGCCCCAAAUUCUAAUCAGAGGUUACACUGUCCAGACAGUUCCCACAAUAUAAUGUUCAUUUCUGUCAACAAUUCUCAUGCAGACUGCUCUUCAAAGGACAACAAUGAAUUAAGUCAAUAAAACUUUGACUAAUUUAUGGCUACAAGUAAAAUCUUUAUAAAUUUAUAUGUAUGCAUAUUUCUAUAAUUAGAACUUGUGAAAUCCAUACAGAUUCCAGUAAAGCUUGCUUAUUAUGUGUCUGUAUUUGUUACAUUUCUGUUGUUGGGGCAAAAGCAAAAAUAGCAACAACAGCAACAACAAACACUUGACCAAAAGCAACCCAGAAGAAGGGUUUCUCUCGGUUUCUUGUUCCAGAUGGAUAAGAGUCCAUCAUGGGGGAGAAGCAUGGCAGUGUGUAUCAGGCCUAGCAGCAGGAAGGAGAAGCUGAGAGCCACAUCUCAACCAUGAGAACAAAGCAGAGAGAGCAAACAAAAAGUGACAGGGAGCUUUUAAUCUCAAAGCCUGUCCUCCAGUGAUGUACUUCCUCCAACAAGGCUACACCUGCACCUCCCAAAACAGGGCUACCAACUAGAAACAGAGUGUUCAAAUGAAUGAGACUGAGGUAGCAUCUCUCUUUCAAGCCAUGAUAUCAUCCUGACUUGUACAAUACAUUAUUGAUAUUUCUUUCAAAAGCUUGAUAGCAGGCAACCAUAACUACUUUGAGGUCAAGACUCCUCCAUGCCAGUGAUAGCAUUUCACAGCCUUCCCUCCUAUCUCCUUGUUCUUACUUCUUUUCAAACCCUCUUGAUGAUGACCUAUGAGCCCUAGAAGGGAUGACGUGAGUAUACUGUUGUGAUUCAUUAUCACUUACUCUCAGCAUGUAGAGCAGACACGUCUUUACAUUUAUUGCAAACAGACUUCUUCCAUGAGUUUUAAAAAAACAAAAACAAAAACAAAGGAACAAAAAGACAUGAAUGUGGGAAAGAAACUAGUGGGGAGAUGUUAAACUAGUAUUAGAGGUAGGAGAGACAUUAGAGAAGAAGGGCACUAUUGGAGUCAGAUUGUACUUUACACAAAUAAGAAAAUUUCCAAGAUGAAACUCAAUAAAAGUUAUAAAAAUUGAUAGCCUUUGUUUUGAGAAGGAAACAUAUAGAAGCAGACCUAAAAUUUUAUAUAGAAUACCCAAGGAAUAAACAAUCUUCUCAAAACAGCUCAAGUAUGAGUAUACAGAGGUCCAAGACCUCUGAAUAUUCUCUCUAGCCAUCUUUAAAACUCCUUCACACAAGCAGAAACUGAGGCCAAAAUAUCAAUGAAGUCAUAGAUGCCAGAAGAGAAAUAAUAGAGCAUACUGAGCUAUGUAGCAAGUUGAAAGCCCACAAGCCAUCUACUUUCAUUGAGUCAAUUGAAAACAGAUAAGAAAGAAAGCCAGGGCUUUUCAUUUCCUGUCAAAAGGAAUUUAAAAUAUUCAUUGUCUUUAAUUUUAAAUAGUGACAAAAUUAUUUAAAUUAUUAACAAAAUGUUGGACUAGCCAGAAAAAACCUAAUAGUUGUUCACUUUUGAUUAUACAUUGAGAUUUUUGUCUCUCUGUCAAACAUAUUUCAUAUGUUUUCUGAUGGUGUCAUAAAUACCACAAAUAUUCCUUAAGUGUGGCCCAUCCAAAACCCUUGCCCAAGCUCUCUAAAAUGCACACAGGUGAGAGUAAGAAUGUUUGACAGCUCUGAAUUAAAUAAGCACUCUUAAAAUAAAAUACAGAUGAAAAAUGUUUCUGGAGAAAGCACUUAAUAGU